UGGGGAAUUUUGGACAAUGGGCGAAAGCCUGAUCCAGCAAUGCCGCGUGUGUGAAGAAGGCCUUCGGGUUGUAAAGCACUUUUGUCCGGAAAGAAAUCCUUGGCUCUAAUACAGUCGGGGGAUGACAGUACCGGAAGAAUAAGCACCGGCUAACUACGUGCCAGCAGCCGCGGUAAUACGUAGGGUGCAAGCGUUAAUCGGAAUUACUGGGCGUAAAGCGUGCGCAGGCGGUUUGCUAAGACCGAUGUGAAAUCCCCGGGCUCAACCUGGGAACUGCAUUGGUGACUGGCAGGCUAGAGUAUGGCAGAGGGGGGUAGAAUUCCACGUGUGGCAGUGAAAGUGCGUAGAGAUGUGGAGGAAUACCGAUGGCGAAGGCAGCCCCCUGGGCCAAUACUGACGCUCAUGCACGAAAGCGUGGGGAGCAAACAGGAUUAGAUACCCUGGUAGUCCACGCCCUAAACGAUGUCAACUAGUUGUUGGGGAUUCAUUUCCUUAGUAACGUAGCUAACGCGUGAAGUUGACCGCCUGGGGAGUACGGUCGCAAGAUUAAAACUCAAAUGAAUUGACGGGGUCAUAGCUG
rnacentral:rRNA from 1 species